rnacentral:rRNA from 1 species
CCGGUGUUAAACCGGAGGAAGGUGGGGAUGACGUCAAGUCCUCAUGGCCUUUAUGACCAGGGCUACACACGUACUACAAUGGCCGAUACAAAGGGCAGCGACACUGCGAGGUGAAGCCAAUCCCGUAAAAUCGGUCUCAGUCCGGAUUGGAGUCUGCAACUCGACUCCAUGAAGUUGGAAUCGCUAGUAAUCGUGGAUCAGCAUGCCACGGUGAAUACGUUCCCGGGCCUU